GUUUCUGUAGUGUAGUGGUUAUCACGUUUGCUUUACACGCAAAAGGUCUCUGGUUCGCAACCAGACAGAAACA
rnacentral:tRNA from 1 species